UUCCAAUCAACUCUUCAACUUCUCUCCAAUCUUAUUCCAAGAAUACCAUCGGUUUCUAUAAGUUCAAUGAAUUUAUUAAGUGGAUCUACAUAUAUAUAUGGGUUGACGUUCUUCUAUCCAUACCAUCUAUAUCUACAAUUCAUUGAAUCCAUUCCUCAAGUUCACAUAUCGCUUUACAAUCUGUAUUUCAUAUGGCUGAAAGUUCAUCAAGUUUCAGGGGACCCUGCUUCUGUAGGCACAUGAAUAAAGCAGACGAGUUUAUUAUGUGCAUUCCAGAUGCCGCUGUGUGUAAACUAUGGGGUGUAUAUAAAUGUCCUACGAAUGUUGAUAUACACACAGAAGAUGGCCGAGUAUUUAAUGUUGGAUUAAGCGCUGCUAAAGGAAAAAUAUUCUUUUUUCAUGGUUGGUCCAAAGUUGUAGAACAUUUACGACUAACCAUAGGUUGUUUGGUAUUAUUUAAUCCUAUAGAUUCUACUACCUUUAAGUUAACAUAUUUUGUUGAUGGGGUUAGUAAUAGCACUUUUUGGACGUAUCUGCUCCCUACA